AUAUUGUCCAAAGGCUAGGCCAGCUUGGCGUUGGUUGUCCAAGUUUAAGGUGGUAGGCUGAGAUCUUAGGUAAAUCCGGGAUCUUAAGGCCGAGAGCUGAUGACGAGUGUCCUUUAGGACACGAAGUGGUUGAUGCCAUGCUUCCAAGAAAAGCUUCUAAGCUUCAGGUAACCAGGAACCGUACCCCAAACCGACACAGGUGGUUGGGUAGAGAAUACCAAGGCGCUUGAGAGAACUCGGGUGAAGGAACUAGGCAAAAUGGCACCGUAACUUCGGGAGAAGGUGGGCCGGUGAGGGUGAAGCAUUUACUGCGUAAGCCCACGCCGGUCGAAGAUACCAGGCCGCUGCGACUGUUUAUUAAAAACACAGCACUCUGCAAACACGAAAGUGGACGUAUAGGGUGUGACGCCUGCCCGGUGCCGGAAGGUUAAUUGAUGGGGUUAGCUAACGCGAAGCUCUUGAUCGAAGCCCCGGUAAACGGCGGCCGUAACGAUAACGGUCCUAAGGUAGCGAAAUUCCUUGUCGGGUAAGUUCCGACCUGCACGAAUGGCGUAACGAUGGCGGCGCUGUCUCCACCCGAGACUCAGUGAAAUUGAAAUCGCUGUGAAGAUGCAGUGUAUCCGCGGCUAGACGGAAAGACCCCGUGAACCUUUACUAUAGCUUUGCACUGGACUUUGAAUUUGCUUGUGUAGGAUAGGUGGGAGGCUUUGAAGCGUGGACGCCAGUCUGCGUGGAGCCAACCUUGAAAUACCACCCUGGCAACUUUGAGGUUCUAACUCAGGUCCGUUAUCCGGAUCGAGGACAGUGUAUGGUGGGUAGUUUGACUGGGGCGGUCUCCUCCUAAAGAGUAACGGAGGAGUACGAAGGUGCGCUCAGACCGGUCGGAAAUCGGUCGUAGAGUAUAAAGGCAAAAGCGCGCUUGACUGCGAGACAGACACGUCGAGCAGGUACGAAAGUAGGUCUUAGUGAUCCGGUGGUUCUGUAUGGAAGGGCCAUCGCUCAACGGAUAAAAGGUACUCCGGGGAUAACAGGCUGAUACCGCCCAAGAGUUCAUAUCGACGGCGGUGUUUGGCACCUCGAUGUCGGCUCAUCACAUCCUGGGGCUGAAGCCGGUCCCAAGGGUAUGGCUGUUCGCCAUUUAAAGUGGUACGCGAGCUGGGUUUAGAACGUCGUGAGACAGUUCGGUCCCUAUCUGCCGUGGACGUUUGAGAUUUGAGAGGGGCUGCUCCUAGUACGAGAGGACCGGAGUGGACGAACCUCUGGUGUUCCGGUUGUCACGCCAGUGGCAUUGCCGGGUAGCUAUGUUCGGAAUAGAUAACCGCCGAAAGCAUCUAAGCGGGAAACUAGCCUCAAGAUGAGAUCUCACUGGAACCUUGAGUUCCCUGAAGGGCCGUCGAAGACUACGACGUUGAUAGGUGGGGUGUGUAAGCGCUGUGAGGCGUUGAGCUAACCCAUACUAAUUGCCCGUGAGGCUUGACU
rnacentral:rRNA from 1 species